rnacentral:rRNA from 1 species
GACGAACGCUGGCGGCGCGCUUAACACAUGCAAGUCGAACGGAAAGGCCUGCUUUCCCUUGUGGAUUGCGGGUACUCGAGUGGCGAACGGGUGAGUAACACGUGAGUGAUCUGCCCCCAACUUGGGUAUAAGCCUGGGAAACUGGGUCUAAUUCCCGAUAGGACUGCAGGGUGGUGCCUGUGGUGGAAAACGAUUUUCUAGUGGUUGGGGAUGAGCUCGCGGCCUAUCAGCUUGUUGGUGGGGUAAUGGCCUACCAAGGCGGCGACGGGUAGCCGGCCUGGGAGGGUGGACGGCCACAUUGGGACUGAGAUACGGCCCAGACUCCUACGGGAGGCAGCAGUGGGGAAUAUUGCACAAUAGGCGGAAGCCUGAUGCAGCGACGCCGCGUGGGGGAUGACGGCCUUCGGGUUGUAAACUCCUUUCGACCGCGAGGAAGCCACCUGGUUGGAAGGGUGGUGACGGUAGUGGUAGAAGAAGCACCGGCUAACUACGUG